rnacentral:lncRNA from 1 species
UAAUCUUAGAAUCGGCUUUCACACCGAAAUUAUUUUUAUCGUUCGAACGUUUUUUAUCGUUGAAAGAUUUCCGUUGCACUAAUUCACCCCCCCCCUCUUAGUGCUCAUGAUCCUAACAAUUGGUAUCAGAGCGGGGUUAACUCUCAAACGAAUUAAAGCUCAAGAGAGAUGGCAUACGCCGGAAACCAAGAGGGCCAUUCUAUUACACGUCCA